GGUAAUAUGGCUGAGAAUAAGCAUUAGACUGUAAAUCUAAAGACAGGGAUGAUAUCCCUUUUUGCCA
rnacentral:tRNA from 1 species